rnacentral:rRNA from 1 species
GACAGAGGGUGCAAACGUUGUUCGGAAUUACUGGGCGUAAAGCGCGUGUAGGCGGCUUGGCAAGUCGGGUGUGAAAGCCCCGGGCUCAACCUGGGAACUGCAUCCGAUACUGGAUGGCUUGAAUCCGGGAGAGGGAUGCAGAAUUCCAGGUGUAGCGGUGAAAUGCGUAGAUAUCUGGAGGAAUACCGGUGGCGAAGGCGGCAUCCUGGACCGGCAUUGACGCUGAGGAGCGAAAGCUAGGGGAGCAAACGGG